UACGGGGGGGGGCAAGCGUUGUUCGGAAUUACUGGGCGUAAAGGGCUCGUAGGUGGCCAACUAAGUCAGACGUGAAAUCCCCAGGCUCAACUUGGGAACUGCGUCUGAUACUGGAUGGCUUGAAUCCGGGAGAGGGAUGCAGAAUUCCAGGUGUAGCGGUGAAAUGCGUAGAUAUCUGGAGGAAUACCGGUGGCGAAGGCGGCACUC
rnacentral:rRNA from 1 species